rnacentral:rRNA from 1 species
GUGGGGAAUCUUGCGCAAUGGGCGAAAGCCUGACGCAGCCAUGCCGCGUGAAUGAUGAAGGUCUUAGGAUUGUAAAAUUCUUUCACCGGGGACGAUAAUGACGGUACCCGGAGAAGAAGCUCCGGCUAACUUCGUGCCAGCAGCCGCGGUAGUACGAAGGGGGCUAGCGUUGCUCGGAAUUACUGGGCGUAAAGGGCGCGUAGGCGGACAGCUUAGUCAGAGGUGAAAGCCCAGGGCUCAACCUUGGAAUUGCCUUUGAUACUGGCUGUCUUGAGUUUGGGAGAGGUGAGUGGAACUCCGAGUGUAGAGGUGAAAUUCGUAGAUAUUCGGAAGAACACCAGUGGCGAAGGCGACUCACUGGCCCAAUACUGACGCUGAGGCGCGAAAGCGUGGGGAGCAAACAGGAUUAGAUACCCGAGUAGUCC